GGUACAGAGGGUGGCCAAAUUGCGAGGGGGGGUUAAUCACAUAAAAACGAUAGUAGUCGGAAUUACAGUCAAAAACUCGAUUGUGAGAAGUUGGAAUCGAUAGUAAUCGAGAAUCAGAAGUUCACGGAGAAUAAGAUCCUGGACCUUAUACACACCGCCCGUCACACCAUGGGAGUGGGUUGCUCCAGAAGUAGCUAGUUUAACCUUCGGGAGGACGGUUACCAGGGGGUGAUUCAUGACAGGGGCGAAGUCGUAACAAGGUAGUCAUAGGGGAACUUUAGGGUAGAUCAGCUCCUGUAUCGAAGCUGUCAGCUGGUUGACAAGCUUCCACAAGAAUUGCUUGAUUCAGGGUAGAAGAC
rnacentral:rRNA from 1 species